rnacentral:rRNA from 1 species
GAUGAACGCUGGCGGCGUGCCUAAUACAUGCAAGUCGAGCGAACGGACGAGAAGCUUGCUUUUCUGAUGUUAGCGGCGGACGGGUGAGUAACACGUGGAUAACCUACCUAUAAGACUGGGAUAACUUCGGGAAACCGGAGCUAAUACCGGAUAAUAUUUUGAACCGCAUGGUUCAAAAGUGAAAGACGGUCUUGCUGUCACUUAUAGAUGGAUCCGCGCUGCAUUAGCUAGUUGGUAAGGUAACGGCUUACCAAGGCAACGAUGCAUAGCCGACCUGAGAGAGUGAUAGGACACACCGGAACUGAGACACGGUCCAGACUCCUACGGUAGGCAACAGUAGUGAAUCUUCCGCAAUGGGCGAAAGCCAGACGGAGCAACGCCGCGUGAGUGAUGAAGGUCUUCGGAUCGUAAAACUCUGUUAUUAGGGAAGAACAUAUGUGUAAGUAACUGUGCACAUCUUGACGGUACCUAAUCAGAAAGCCACGGCUAACUACGUG